CAAUUUUGGACAUGAUUAUUUUUAUCUUGUUUUUCUGUUAUUUCGGUUCUAAAUUCGAUUGUAUUAUCAGCUUGUUUUUCUCAGUGAGACAAAGAUGCACUUAUGGGAUCUAGCUGUACCCUUCGAAUAAUCUACUUUCUUGUUCUCUCCAGUUCUUUUUUGCUAUUUUCUUUCUCCCUUUUUCUGUCCUUGUUGGUAGCUUUGAGUUUGCAUUGCUCUUUCUCUCUAGUUUCUUUGUCUAAUUUUGAUAAUUCCGUUUUGCUUACGUCACUGUCUUGUUUGCUACCCCGUCUUCAACGCUCGAUGAUCCAUUCUGUCUCUGAAUUUCGUGAAUGGAGGUUGUAAAUUUAACUUUUUCCUUUGAUUCCAUUUUAUUUAGCUUAUGCUAAAUUUUUCUAUUUAUUACAAUAUGUAGUUGAUCAGAGACAGAUUUCAUUCAUCACAAGUUGUGAUAUUAUUAUUAUUUUCUUUAUUUUUUUUUAUUUCCUUUUUAAAUAUGUAAAUUUUCUUGUUUGUUAUUUAAAAAAAAAAAGAAAAGUAAUCAUGUCCGAAAAUUUAAUUGAGUAUUCAUUCUAGCUGGCCUAAGUUAUGGCAAUUUAUUUAUAUUUGUUGAAAACCUCAUUCAUCACAUAUGUAUCCAUAGUAAUUUCUACAAUUUCCGCUGUACAGCGGUCAUAGACUCAUAGACUCGUAGACUCGUAGACUCGUAGACUCGUAGUAUCACAGGAUGUCUUAGUUAUGGCCAUGGAAGCUGAAUCCUUGCUGACCAACUCAUCACAAGGAAACCAAUAUUUCCAGAAAAGAUCUAAAUUCGCCGUAAAAAGGAUACUUCAAGAACUUCUUGUGCAGUGAAAAAUUAAUAAGUGAAAAAUUUGAAUAAAGUGUACGGAGGCCUCCUCACUUCAAUACACCAGGUAUUUACGAAACAACCAAUAUUAAUUUAUGGAAAAUUCACAGGCAACUACUUCGUAAAAAUAAAUGGGACAGGAUCAUAAAUAAAUUUGUAAUUACUUGAUUUAAAUUUUGUUUAUUUUUUGGAAAUUCUAUUUAUUUGAUCUAUUAUGUAUAUUAAAUUGCAAACAUGAUUACAA
rnacentral:lncRNA from 1 species